GUAUUUCAUUGCGUUAAACGCGACAUACAUUCCAUGAGACUUUGCUACGGUGUGUGUGUAAAGACGUAGGACCACAGCAGGAGGACAGAGCCCCCCAGGCCAUAGAACUACAGAGGGUGCACAGGGUGUGAGUGGAUGUGUUAACAGAGCGUGCACAUGCCCCCGUUUGAGGACCAGCAACAACUCUUGUUGACAAUUCGGUAAUGAUCCUUCCGCAGGUUCACCUACGGAAA
rnacentral:misc_RNA from 1 species